AAGUGGGAAAUAAAAGAGAAGAAGAAGAGUUUGGUGUACAGACACAAAGGCUAUCGGGAGAAAACAGACAGAGAGAGGGAAUGUUUCUCCUUCCAUCAGCAGAGGAGAACUGAUGUGCAUCACCUUCACCGAGCUGUUACUCGAUGAUGCCGCUUGCACAGAGUUCAUCUUCCAGCUGUGCCAAGAUGCAAACCAAACUGAGCUCCUGGACUCCUCUGAACCACACUCUCUCCAACAGCAAGGUGUUUGAAGAAAGGCGGAAACUUCUAUCAAAGUGGGUGAGUUCAUGUGAG